rnacentral:rRNA from 1 species
GGAAUAUUGCACAAUGGGCGAAAGCCUGAUGCAGCGACGCCGCGUGAGGGAUGACGGCCUUCGGGUUGUAAACCUCUUUCAGUAGGGAACAAGGCCAGUGUUUAGCUGGUUGAGGGUACUUGCAGAAGAAGCGCCGGCUAACUACGUGCCAGCAGCCGCGGUAAUACGUAGGGCGCAAGCGUUAUCCGGAAUUAUUGGGCGUAAAGAGCUCGUAGGCGGUUUGUCGCGUCUGCCGUGAAAGUCCGGGGCUCAACUCCGGAUCUGCGGUGGGUACGGGCAGACUAGAGUGAUGUAGGGGAGACUGGAAUUCCUGGUGUAGCGGUGAAAUGCGCAGAUAUCAGGAGGAACACCGAUGGCGAAGGCAGGUCUCUGGGCAUUAACUGACGCUGAGGAGCGAAAGCAUGGGGAGCGAACAGGAUUAGAUACCCGAG